GACCACGCUCCCCGAGCUUCCCCCCACGCUGCAAUCUCAGCCCAGCGCUGGUUUGGGGCUGAAGCCAUCCCGACGAAGAGCUGCUGGCCAAAUUGAACACCGCCGAGCACCGCUGCGCUGCUCCCCUCCUCACCUCAAAGGCUUGGUUCCCCCCCCCCCACCCCGUGUCCGUGCUGAUGCACGCACCACAGCAUCCGAAUUUUCGGCUGGGCUGACCCAGGCGUGCCGUGGGGGUUUGUGCCCCUUUUGCCAUCGGAAGCAUCGCUGUGGGUCUUUGGGGAGCUCGUGUCAAAUAACUGGCAUCGCUUCACACAAAAGGCAGCAACCGACCCAAACGAAUGCCCUGAAUCUGGCACCUCCCAUGAAUGCAGGCGAGCUGGCAGAGAGCCCGUGAAAGAGGUACUGACUUUGCAAGCCCAUGCCUGUUGUAGCAUAAUAAGGUCAUUGUCAAGAAGACGCGGCACCAGGAGGCUGAUCUUGAGCAAAACAUGGCCCCAGUUGUGCGUUGUGCAACCCCUGUGACUGCUCCAACAGUGGCCCCAUUGUUUCCCAUUGUGAGGCCGCGGCGGCUCGUUAUCCAAUGCAGAGCUGGCUCACGCUGGGCUGGUGCAGACAUCCCUCCAUAGCGCAUCGUUGCUGGGUGUCAGAAGGAUGGGGUGUGCUGAAUUAGCUGCCUCCCGAAUGGCACAACGCGAUGUUCUCGCUUCACACCACUCAUGUGAGCUCUUGGUUGAAUAGAAUUCCUUCCUACCAGUUGCUUUCUCUCGUAGAGCAGCUCAACGUGGAAAGGCUUUGGGAGGGAGAACCAUUCGGAGCAGGAAAUCAGGCAUCUGGAAUGUUCAUCUCCAACCAUACCCUGACCUUCCAUGGCUCCCACGUUGGAGAAGAGGAACUGCUGCCCCAGGUGAGAUGCAGGGCGUGGGGCAUCGCGUGGGUUGCGCUGAUACGGUGCCAAUGGGACGCAAAGCCACUGCUGAAACUGCUGCCCAAGAGGAGGCGAUGGCAAAGAAGGGAAAGAAAUGGAUUGCCCUGAGAAGAGGGGAAGCAAAGACACCAAGUCUUCCUGCUGCAAGUAUGAGGUUGGCGUCCACAGGAAGACAUACAUACCCACAUGAGCCACUGUGGGAGAGCUCGGUUGGAUUCCACCCAGGAGACAAAUGGAAACCAGUGGGCAAGCGAGGCACGCAGCAGCAGAAAGAAUAAGAAAGCAACAGGCCCCUUAAAAACAUACUUAAUCGUUUUCAAACUUUAUUUCAUGGUGAUUGACGAAAGACACAAGUUAGUAAUGGUUACAUCAUGCUGCUCCUCUACUGUGCAUUGCCCUUCAGAAUUCAUACAGCAGUUCACAACGGUCAUUAAUUUACCCUAUAAAUGAAGCCACAUGGAUAUUAUUAAAAAAAAAAAAAAAAAAAAAAA